CGGAGAGGCAGUUUCUGGAUUUGAAGAAUUCUAAAACCAACAAAAGCCUCACUGACUAUAUUAACCGCUUUGGGAUUUAUCUUGUAUAUCUCAUGAGCUGAAAAAAAAAAGAAGUCCCUACUCUUACAACAAGAAAAACCUUGUUCAGGCUGUAAAGUGAUGGCUUUUCUAACCCAUAUGAAAACAGGUCAAAGGAUAAACGACCGUCCAAAAUUCUGAGGAGACAUAGGCACAUCCAGGGAGACAGAGGAGUCAAAGAGUUGCUAACCUUGGGCAGAGGCUGCUAGAUACCAAGAAAGCCCGCCAGAAUAUCAAAGAAGAAACACUGAUAAUUCCUUGGAGGUUGAACAUUAGUAUGGGGCUACGGUAAUGGGCUUUCGACCCAUUUGAAUACUUUUUUCUCUAGAAACACCAUGAGGCUUUUACAGGGGGGAUCUGAGAGAAUCCAGAGAAUGUUUCCCUUGUCUUACUAGUUGGGAAGGGAAAGACCAGACACCGUAGAGUCCAUCCAGAUCCCACUGCCAUGUGAAACAAAGGCUUAAUCAGCAGUGGGAAGGGCCAGAAGACUGCAGACUAACAGUACUAGAGGAUAUUUUUUGCAGCUGGGAAAAGGAAGAUGGAGCAGGAGACACUGUGACAGCACUGAUAGCUGUACACACUUUGGAAAUGACUCUGGAGAGAUCCACUGUGAAGAAUGUGUGUGUUUGGACAAUCACUUUGCUACAGAGUGGAAAACAGGUCUGCCUAUAAGAAGCUGCCUAUCAGAGAAUUUUAAUUCUCUUAGGAUAAAAGAUACUAGUACACCUGGAGGAAAAUUGCUACUGUGGUUUUCAAGGCAGUUAUAGUAGAUAGCGUGUCCUAAACUGCUCCAAUAUAUUACUGUCUCUUGCUUUAUUUCUUCUCAAUGUUUGCAAACCUCCUGUUUGAAAGAAGUAUGUCAUUUACAGCCAUGGGUAUUUUUCCUCUGACAUAAAUUGCCAUAUUUUAAAUUUUAAGACAUCUGUUAGUUGCCAGUACUUCAAAAGGGUGCUCCCUUGUGAUCACCACACACUGACCUCUCCUGGUCUUUAUGGCACACAGACAGAUGGACAAUUAUGGGAAAUUGAAUACGUAAAGUUUCUUCUGACUUACUUAUCCUUAACCAGGGCUAGAAGACUCAUGAUUUUUAUUCCACAGGUAUCUUUUAUCUAAUGCAGAAAAUAAUAAUCUCAGAAACAUUAAACUGUUUUGAAGGGAUGAAGGAACCAGACAUUGGAAGGACUUUAAAGAUAGUGUAAUCUAACCCUUUUAGACUGAAUGAGAAGAUGAGGGCCUGUGGGGUUGCAUGCAUGCCUGCAGUGGAGGAAAAGAGGGAAUGACCACCGGGUGCAGUGGCUCACGCCUGUAAUCCCAACAUUUUGGGAAGCCAAGGUGGGCGGAUCACCUAAGGUCAGGAGUUCAAGACCAGCCUGGCCAACAUGGUGAAACCUUGUCUCUACUAAAAAUACAAAAAUUAGCUGGGUGUGGUGGCCGGCACCUGUAAUCCCAGUUACUCAGGAAGCUGAGGUAGAAGAAUUGCUUGAAUCCUGGAGGAGAGGUUGCAGUGAGCCUAGAUCAUGCCACACACUCCAGCCCGGGCGACAGAGUGAGACUCCAUCUCAAAAAAAAAACAAAAAAAAGGUGUAUGAACAAUUGUUUCCUUCUUUAGAAAAUCAUCAUUCCCAUUAGAAAGUUCUUUUGUAAAUAUUUUAAUUGUUUUUCCUUCCUUUUGUGAUUUCUUCAGCUUCUUUUUAAAUGUGUUGAUAUGAAAUCUUCCUUCAACUGAUAUGUCCAUUGCCUUAUAAGUUUGGUGCCCUUUCUCUAAAACUUUGUGAGGUAAUGUACAGGAAUAAAAAAGGAUUUUUUCACAAUUUCUGAACAACCAGGAUAAGAGGUUAAUAUUUUCUACUUCAUUUGUUUUUACCAUUUGCCUUUUAUAUACAAAAGGAUGAGAAUCACAUGGAAAAUAGAACUUUAAAAUAAAUAAAUAAAUAAACAAACAAAAUGUUUCUAUUACCCUACGGAAAAAAUCUAUGUAGGUAAUUACACUCUAACACUCUUCAUAGGAGAGUGAACUCACAGUAAAACAAUUUCUUUUAGCCCUAGGCUAUAAAAAAUAAUUUCUAGGCAUUUUGAUUUUCAUGAAUAAGUAGCUGAAUGCUCUAUCAGAGAAGCACACAAAUAUUCAGUAAAAAUGGUUGAUUUAUUUUUACUGAUUGAAUCAUUGCCUGAAUAAAUCAUUUUUACUGAAUAUUUGUAUGCUCCUAUAAUAUUCAGCUACUUAUUGGUGAAAAUCUGAACACCUAGAAAUUAUUCUUGAUUGCCUAGGGAUAAAGGUGAUAGAAAAUAUGGUACCUAUACACAUCACGGAAUACUAUGCAACCAUAAAUGAGAACUAGAUCAUGUCCUUUGCAGGGACAUGGAUGGAACUGGAGGCCAUUAUCCUUAGCAAACUAACCCAGGAACAGAAAACCAAACAUUGCAUGUUCUUACUUGUAAGUGGGAGCUAAAUGAUGACAGCACAUGGACACAUAAAGGGGAACAAAACACACUGGGCCCCUUCAGAGGGUGGAGGGUGAGAGGAGGAAGAAGAUCAAGAAAAGUAACUAAUGAGUACUAGGCUUAAUACCUGGGUGAUUAAAUAAUCUGUACAACAAAUCCCCAGGACACAAGUUUACCUGUGUAACAAACCUGCACUUGCAACCUUGCACUUAAAAAAAAAAUCUUUAAAAAAAUAAUUAAUUCAAACUUGGACAAAUUUAUUGAAUAAACUUAAAAUUGUAAUUAUGUUUGUGUGCACAUGUGUAUAUGUGAACAGAAGCAUGCAAAUUCAUUUGUUGUGUACAUAAAUAGAUAAGGCUAAUGCAAAUUUGUAUUUUUAAUUGACAUGGAGAUAGAAAAUAAUUAG